CGACGGCGGGGGCGACACCGGCCACCGGACGUCUUCCACACGGCCUGCGGUCAAGGUCAGAGCCAGGGCCGCGCGCUUCUGGCUCGGCGUCGCGACCUCAGCGGAGGAGCCCCAAGCGCUCGCCCUGCAAGACCCCGGGCUCAGGCCGCCGCAGUGUGCCUUCCGCGGGCCCGGGCUGGAGGGAUGACCCGGACGGAGGUGCGCACUCGGAGAGCCGGGCGCAGCCAAGAGGUGGGCGGGCGUGGUUGCUCGAGCUGUGGGAACCGCUGAGGUAGGGGCGCCUUAUCGCCCACGUUACUGGCGCGUUGCCGGCUUGGAGACGCCCUCAUCAUCCUCCUUUGACCCAUAGGCCGCACCCCUGUCGAAACUCCGCCGGGUUCCCAGCGAGGUUAAAGAGCGCUCCUUGCCCUGGGCGUCCUGAUUGUCAGGACGGCCACACCCUCCUGCCCUGGAGAGGGCUGGGAAUCUGCCUGCCGAGCAAUUCCUGUCACCUAGGGCCUGGGAACGCUGUGUGGCCAGAGAGGCAGGGGUCCAGUGCUCUGCUGCUGAAGGAACCAGGCCAGAAGCCGGCUGGGAAGGGAAUGCGGUGGAGACAGGCUUGCACACCUGACAUGGCUGGAGUCCCUUGGGAUGGAAGGCUGCCCUGCCCACAGGCCAGAUCCUGUCCACCUGGGUGUGGUGCUGACCUGCCUGGAACCUGCCGGGCCUGCUGGUCCAGCUGCACCCUCUGGGAUGCACGGAGCUGCUUGGCCUGGCCUGCAUGGGCUGGCGUUUGGGGCCAUGCUGGACAGCAGGGACUGCUAUGGCAUUCCUUGCCUGCUUCCUCUGUGCCCGUGUGAGAAUGCUCUGGAACCUGGGGAAGGCCCGGAGCAGGGUUGCUGUCCACCAGCUGGAGGGCCAGGUGCCUCACUGCCUGGCAGAUGUCACCGUGACCCUUUCAGGGCAAUGGGCAGCACAGCACGUGCCAGGCACCGCGUGGUGGUGGUUUUAUUUUACACCGCUUUGUCCUUGUAGUUCGGUGGCGCAGUGAGGGGCUGGGUGGGUGCACAGGUGUUUCCAUUCCCGUGUGCUGUAGACGUGUAUGUUCUAGGCUGAUGAAAAUAAACACAUUCCACAGCAU
rnacentral:lncRNA from 1 species